UCGGACGAGAAAAGAGACUUCGGUCUCUGAGUACAGUGGCGCACGGGUGCGUAACACGUAAGUAAUCUACCCCAAACCCUGGGAUAACUCUCCGAAAGGAGAGCUAAUACUGGAUAGUGUCCUUGAAGUGGAGACUGCAAGGGGAAAACAAGCCUCUGUUGCAUGCUUGCGGUUUGGGAUGAGCUUGCGGCCCAUUAGCUUGUUGGUAGGGUAAUGGCCUACCAAGGCGACGAUGGGUAGCUGGUCUGAGAGGAUGAUCAGCCACACUGGCACUGAGACACGGGCCAGACUCCUACGGGAGGCAGCAGUGGGGAAUUUUGCGCAAUGGGCGAAAGCCUGACGCAGUAACGCCGCGUGGAGGAUGAAGGCCUUCGGGUUGUAAACUCCUGUCAGGGGGAACGACGGGGAAAGGGUGAUAAGCGCUUUCUCCCAGACGGUACCUCCAAAGGAAGCCCCGGCUAAUUCCGUGCCAGCAGCCGCGGUAAUACGGAAGGGGCAAGCGUUGUUCGGAAUCAUUGGGCGUAAAGGGCGUGUAGGUGGUUCUGUAUGUCUACCGUGAAAGCGUACGGCUCAACCGUAUUUAGUCGGUAGAAACUGCAGGACUUGAGGCUGGGAGGGGCUGGUGGAAUUCCCCGUGUAGCGGUGAAAUGCGUAGAGAUGGGGGAGAACACUCGUGGCGAAGGCGGCCAGCUAGACCAGUUCUGACACUGAGGCGCGACAGCGUGGGGAGCAAACAGGAUUAGAUACCCUGGUAGUCCACGCUGUAAACGAUGGGCACUAGGUGCUGGCGGUCUUGAUCCCGUCGGUGCCGGCGCUAA
rnacentral:rRNA from 1 species